rnacentral:rRNA from 1 species
GACGAACGCUGGCGGCGUGCUUAACACAUGCAAGUCGAGCGGAAAGGCCCUUCGGGGUACUCGAGCGGCGAACGGGUGAGUAACACGUGAGUAACCUGCCCCAGACUUUGGGAUAACCCUCGGAAACGGGGACUAAUACCGGAUACGACACAGCUUCGCAUGGGGUCUGUGUGGAAAGUUUUUCGGUUUGGGAUGGGCUCGCGGCCUAUCAGCUUGUUGGUGGGGUGAUGGCCUACCAAGGCGACGACGGGUAGCCGGCCUGAGAGGGCGACCGGCCACACUGGGACUGAGACACGGCCCAGACUCCUACGGGAGGCAGCAGUGGGGAAUAUUGCACAAUGGGCGGAAGCCUGAUGCAGCGACGCCGCGUGAGGGAUGACGGCCUUCGGGUUGUAAACCUCUUUCAGCAGGGACGAAGCGUAAGUGACGGUACCUGCAGAAGAAGCGCCGGCCAACUACGUG